AUGGCUCCCAGCGUCCUACCCGGGAGCCGCUCCGCCGGCGCAGACGCCCCCACCGGUGCGCGCCGGGUUGGCUGCAUUCAGGGGCUCCCAGUAUCAGAUCCCUGCGAGCAUCAUCAGCUUGGCUCCUGCAGGAGGAGACGGAGCCUACGUUCUUGGGCCCCAGACUCUGAUGAAGAACAACCAUCUUUCCUCCGCUGGGAAAAUGCACGUGAACGUUUAGGUUUCCCAGUGUCACUGAGAUUAAGCUCCAGUCUCCUGAGAUGGAUCUGCUUCUGAGAUAACAUAAACCAGGCAGUCACUGAAUGCAUGAACAAUAAGCCUGUAAGUUAUGGGGUUCUUGUAAGAAGACUGAACCAGUAGUUUCAGGAGAGGAUAACACAGAGGAAUCUCUGAACAGCAGGACACCAGGCACAGCUGAGGACAGAACUCCCACCCAGGUCUACACUCUCUGGGCAGCAAAUUUGAAGAAACGUCUCCAGUGACUCCAGGUGGCCUAAGAGAAAAGACCUAAGCACACUGACACUGGGGCUUCCCCAGGAACGCGCAGCUCACCACCCAAUUCAUGUGGGCAGCUCUGGUCCCAGGGCACCAAGAGUGUCAUGAUCUGCAGUUCAAUCUCCCCAGGGCCAGAUGGAAAAGUAGUUACUUGCCAAAGAGGGCAUAAUUUCAAAAAU
rnacentral:lncRNA from 1 species